GGGAAUGUGGCUCAGUGGUAGAGUGCUUGCCUAGCAUGCAUGAGGCCCUUGGUUCCAUUCCUC
rnacentral:tRNA from 1 species